AGAUAAGAUCAGCUUGAUUCCCAGACAAUACAAUCUCCCUGAAUUGGAGCAACCCUCCAGCAAGCUGGGAGGAAGGGAAGAGCUGGGGGAUUCUGGGGUCUGCAGGGUGUGAGUCGCUAAGCUACUGCUCAGGGCCACUUCCUCCAGGAAGCCCUCCCUGAAUUCUCCUGCCCACCCUUCUCAGGACUCGGAGAGUGCCAGGGUGUGUGACCAGCGUGGAACUGAUUCCAUAAAUGCUAAGACUACACCUGGCACAAUGCUGGCUGCCUGGCAGGCACCCUGUAAAUUAAAGUGCUACCAGCCAGAACAACCUCAGCCCAUGAGCUAAGCAAGUCUGUACGCCUCCCAUACAAAUGAGAUCACUGAGGCCGAGAGGGGUUAAGCUGCUUGCUUGGAGCAGGAAAUAUCUGGUCCAGCCUGGCUCGCAGCCCUUCCUGCCCCACUCCUGUUACCUGCCCUAUGCUGCAGGCAUCACUUGUCGCCGGAGCCAGCUCCUCCGCCUUCAGACCCCAGGCCAGGAGCUAAGAAUAUCUCCAAGCGUCUUCCCCGACACCUGCAGCAGAUGUGCCCACAAAUUACCUGGUCCCAGCGGUAGGGAGCAGGCAAGGAAAGGGCAGCGUUUUCCUAAAAGCAUUGCACAUUUAAUUUGCAAAGUUACAUCACACAUUCGUGCACAGGGCAGCUUUUGGGAGCUGAUUUCAACGCUAGAGGCGGGUUGGGUAUCCCGGGUGUGACCUUUACAGGUUGGCAGGGCGGGUUUGGGGGGCAUGUAGACACCUGUGAGUGUCAGAUACUCUCACACGUGGGGCAGAUGGGGAGAGACAGAUAUUCCAGGGGCCCCUUCUCUGCAAGUGCUCACUGGGCACCUCCACAGGCGUCAUCUCACUUCUUCCCGAAAGAAACCCAGCCAAGUGUGCCUGAGCCUGGCUGCAUCUCACGAGGUCUCGUGUCUUCCCAUCCCUUACAGACCAUGUGACAUGCGCAGACCCUGAACUUGAACCCAGGUGUCCAGACUCCUAAACCCACAUUUUCCCACCACCCAGUGCAGUUAAGAAAUGUGAACAGGGUUGACAGGUAUUAUGUAUACAGAGGGUAAAAGCACAUGCACAUCUAGCUGCACCUUUUAAAAAUUAUUGGAUGGGCCUGGGUACUUUAUUUAUGAGCGUCACAGGAAAAGCUGUGGAACUUGUGUGAGAUUUCAGCCCGGAGUGCGUCAAGAAUUGUCCACAGCAGUAGUGAAACUGCAAGUGGUCGAAAUGAGUAAGACUGAGUUCUAUCGAGAGUCCCACUGAGUCCAGCUCACUCAAUUGAUGAAUUAAUUGUCUUGAAUUAUUAUCAGUAAUUUUAGGGCUUUGAAAAAUUAACUCGAGGUAGUUUUAUCUCAGAAGACACCAUUUAGAAGUUGUCGUGGCUUCCUCCUGGAUCUCGCAGAGAACUCUACACAGUGUUCUGUGGUGAUCUGUGUGGGAGAGGAAGCUGAAAGAGAAUGGAUGUGUGUACGUGUGUAAUGGAAUCACUUUGUUGUACAGCAGAAAUUAGCACAAACUUGACAUCAAUCAAAUCAACUGUAUAUUAAUAAAAGUUGAAAAAGUAAAAAAAAAAGUCUAUUUGGUUCCUAAAAUUAAUAUUAGAUACAUUACAAAGUUAAAACCCUAGUUCUUCCUUAUGCUUUUAAACUAUGCUUAAAAUUAUAUUAUUCUAUUUAUUUUCUUAGUGAUUUUUUAUUGUGAUAAAGUACAUAUAACAUAAAAUUUGUUUUAAUAAUUUUUUUGCUUUUUUUUUGUCUUUUUGCCUUUUCUAGGGCUGUGUCCACGGCAUAUGGAGGUUCCCAGGCUAGGGGUCUAAUCGGAGCUGUAGCCACUGGCCUAUGCCAGAGCCAUAGCAAUGCGGGAUCUGAGCCGUGUCUGCGAACUGCACCACAGCUCAUGGCAACGCCAGAUCCUUAACCCACUGAGCAAGGCCAGGGAUCAAACCCGCAACCUCAUGGUUCCUAGUCAGAUUCGUUAACCACUGUGCCACGAUGAGAACGCCUAAUUUUUUUUUUGCUUUUUAUGGCUGUACCUGC
rnacentral:lncRNA from 1 species